rnacentral:rRNA from 1 species
UCAGGCCUAACACAUGCAAGUCGAGCGGACAGAAGGGAGCUUGCUCCCGGAUGUUAGCGGCGGACGGGUGAGUAACACGUGGGUAACCUGCCUGUAAGACUGGGAUAACUCCGGGAAACCGGAGCUAAUACCGGAUAGUUCCUUGAACCGCAUGGUUCAAGGAUGAAAGACGGUUUCGACUGUCACUUACAGAUGGACCCGCGGCGCAUUAGCUAGUUGGUGGGGUAAUGGCUCACCAAGGCGACGAUGCGUAGCCGACCUGAGAGGGUGAUCGGCCACACUGGGACUGAGACACGGCCCAGACUUCUACGGGAGGCAGCAGUAGGGAAUCUCCCGCAAUGGACGAAAGUCUGACGGAGCAACGCCGCGUGAGUGAUGAAGGUUUUCGGAUCGUAAUGCUCUGUUGUUAGGGAAGAACAAGUGCGAGAGUAACUGCUCGCACCUUGACGGUACCUAACCAGAAAGCCACGGCUAACUACGUGCCAGCAGCCGCGGUAAUACGUAGGUGGCAAGCGUUGUCCGGAAUUAUUGGGCGUAAAGGGCUCGCAGGCGGUUUCUUAAGUCUGAUGUGAAAGCCCCCGGCUCAACCGGGGAGGGUCAUUAGAAACUGGGAAACUUGAGUGCAGAAGAGGAGAGUGGAAUUCCACGUG